rnacentral:misc_RNA from 1 species
UUAAAUAAAAAUCGGUGUUGUUGCUGCCUUUCGUGGUGACGCGUCGGAAUUGAGUCUUCUUAUCCUUCGGCUAAGUGACUUAAAAUUUUAUGUGAUUUUCGAACGUAUUUAAAUUGCUUACGUACGUUUGAGAUAUCGAAUAUUUUAUUAGGUUCGGUCAUCCUUAUGACUCGCGCCUAUAAUUUUUUCAUU